CCUCUAUCACCUCCUUGCUCAGUGGCGCCCCUCCUGAUAAAACUGUUUUUAGCGAACUCAAAUCGUACUUGGACAUUAUCUGAUCGGCGCCGUUGAUCAUUGCUACUAAUAUUGGUGGCACCAGAGGGAGAUCCGUGGCACGGUACCUCUCGAUCGUGGAUAGCAUCUCGUGAAUCUCGAACUUCGAGAGCACUAUUAUCGUCGACCCUGAUGCAAGUAAUCCUGUCGCGAACGCUGCUAGACCGUAGAUGUGAAACAUAGGGACGGUGCAAAUAAACUUGUGCUCUCUAUCUUCGUUGAAACGUCCAACGAUGGUUUGAACCAUCGCGAUUAGGCUUCGAUGCGAGGAAACCACGCCCUUGCUUGCUCCGGUUGUGCCUGACGAAUAGAGCAGAGUAGCUGUGUCGUCUAUGUGGACUCGCUCCCUGAAUCGGCUCUCACUAGGCUCCUUCCUCAUCAUCUGGCUUAAAGUUGUAACGAUUUUGGCUUGAACAUUAUUGGUGGAAUUCUGAUCGUCUAUGAGGAUGAUGGGGAGAUUAGAGUUCGACUCGGCGAGUUUUGGGACGAGCUGGGGAGUAGUGAAGGCGAAUAGGGGUUUGGAGUCGGCGAUUUGCUUGGCGAU
rnacentral:misc_RNA from 1 species